GUGGACAAAUGAUACAAAGACAACACUCAUGACAUGGUUGAAGGGUGUUUCAUCCUUUUUCUUUUUAAAU